CUUGAGUUUGAUUUGCUGAUCUCUACACGGAAUAUCAUGAGUUCUUUUUGUUUAUAUGUCUCUUUGUCGGUUCUAAGUGUCUAGUUUUAUGGACUUUGUGAUUUUUCCUUUGGUGUUCUAGGAGAGGUAAUCUAUGAACUCUUGGUCACACAUGGAAGCUAUGGUGGAGACCCAUUCUGCUUUAGGUUUAAAUGCAAUCAAGACAACGUUUCUUUUUGUUCAAUUUAUUCAUCUCUAUUUGAUUUAUGGAUGGACUUCUUGUUUUUCAAUCUCUAUUCUGAUUGAUUAGUUUUUGUCGUUUGCUUCCCUUUUGUGAUUUCUUCAUGGGUGUUACAGGGUAUGAAUGUUGGUGAGAUGUGGUAGCUUUUGAAGAAUAACAAUCUUGGUCUCCAACCAUGGGAAUAAAAUCACUCUUUUUAUUUGUUUUUGUUAUUUAUGAAUAUUUUUAAGAUUUGGCUUCUUGACAGUGAGAACUGAAUGUUGUGGUCGUUGUGUUUUUCUGUAGAAUUAUAUAUAUUUCCUAUGGCAGGAUGGGGGGUUUAGGACGUCAUGGCUGGGCUCUAUAUUCCUGCCUCUUGGUUUGGAUAAAUUUGCUACUCUUUUACUUUUCAUUGGAAGUUUUUGAUAAUGUUGAUCUAUGAAUGAUCUCUUCUCCUAAUUAAGUAUCAUCUUGGUUACAGUGGUACAUGAGAACUGCCGUUGGAGUUUGGUUAAAUUGUCACUUUUAUAUAUUGAGCACUGCAGUCUGCAAUCAUCACAAUUGAAGUUGGAAUUUUAAAGGGAUUUUAUCAGACAAUAACAUGAACAGCUUAGGGUUAUUUUACUUUGACGAGUUUGUUUGUCUUUUUUUGUUUCUUGAAUGUUUGCACAUAUGAAUUAAAUUGUGCACUUGUUUUUGUGCAGUUAAGUGUUUGAGAGCAACAUUACAUGAUAAAUCUAGCUUCAUGCACAAUUAUGGCGACACUUUCCUGGAGUUUGAAUUCUUGGUUCUUUGACAUAUUUCUCUUCCAUUUCACGAUUUUGAAGUCUGAUAUUUUGUGAAUUAUUGAAUAUAACGGGUUUGGUAUCAUCAGUUUGUGUGUGUUUAUUGUCUUGCUUCUUUAUCAGUUAUCACUUGAUAAUACUUGCCACUUAUCCACUAUCAAUUAUCACUUAUCACUUAUUAGUUAUCACUUUUUACUUAUCAACUAUCGCUUAAAAGGCUAAGAAUUACUUAUGUGAGUUGAAGUUCUCAUUUUGCAGCAAGCUGGAGUUUUGAUGUGUUUUCUAGAAGGCUAAAAAUUACUUGUUCUCAAGUGUGUUUUAAGAUUCUUGGUUUGGAAGGCUAAGAACGGCAAAUGGUUUUGGAUUAAUCUAAUUUAUUAUGUUUACCUUUAUUUUUCUGUCUAUUGUUUUAACACCAGUCAUACACAUUGGAUUGUUAACCUGUUUUUCAGCAGCGUAGUGUAAACAUCCUUCAUAGUGUUCAGCCUUGAUUUGUUGCUCUGAAUUGUAUUUCAUGAAUUCUUUUUAUAUCAAUAUUUCUUUGUUGAUUCUAAUUAUCUAGUUACCUCAAUUUGUGAUUUUUAUUUCGGUGUUAUAGGAGAGGUAUAUGAACACUCAGUGGCACAUGGAAACUAUGGCAUAUAUUGUCAAGGACUUCCUAUUCAGCAUUAGGUUUUUAAACACAAUCAAGACAAAAAUUCUUUUCAUUCAAUAUGAUUAUCUCUAUUUGGAUUAUGGGUUUGCGUUUCCAGUCCUCCUUAUCAAUUUCAAGUGUUUAGUUUUAUCAAAUCAUUCCUUUUUGUGAUUUCCUCUUGGGUGUUACUGGGUUAUUAUCAAAGUUGGUGGAUCUUGGAUUUUAGACCACCUAGGAAACAAAAUCAUUAUUUCUUCUGUGAUUUCUUAUGUAUGUUCUGAGAUUUGAUUUCUUGACAGUCUUUGUGUUGGGCUCUUUGUUCCUGCCUCUUGGUUUGGAAAAUUUUGCUACUCCUAUACUCUCUAUUGGAAUAUUUUUUAUAAUGUUGAACUACAGGAAUCUCCCUCCUCCCUAAUCUUCUUCCUAACCUACCUUUGCAUUAGAAGUUGAUCAAAUUGUCUGUAAAAUAUAUUGAGCACUGCUAUCUGCAAUCAACAUAAUUGAAGUUGGAAUUUUCAAGGGAUAUUAUCAGAUAACAUCUAAGAUCAUUUAACUUGUUUUAAGAGUUUAGUUUCUUUUUUCUGGUCUGAUACACAUUUGAAUAAAGUAGUGCAAUUUGUUUUUGUGCAGUUGAGUGUUCGAAUAUUGUUGGGCAACAUUUUAUGAAGAAGUUAGCUUCAUGCUUAAUUAUGGUGACCUUUUCUAGUUUUCACGGUUCCUACUAUUUUUCUUUCCACAAUUUCAAAUACUUAUUGAACACAUGUUAUGUGGUUUGGUAUCACCAGCUUAUCUGUUUGAUGUCCUUAAUUGUGUAGGGUUUCUUUUCUUUUCUGGGUAGGGUUUGUUUCUGGAUAUGAGCCAUACAUGCGCAACUUCUUGGUGGGUUCGAGUCUUCGUACCUCUUGAGUUUGAUUGCCGUUCUUCACACGUCAUGUCAUGAAUUAUUUAUGUAAUUUUGUUUGUUCUAAGAAUUUGGAAUUUUGCAUGUGAUUUUCCCUUUUAGUCUUGUAGAAGAGAGGCCAACAAUGACUUAAAAGCUAAGGAAAAGAUUGUCAAAGAAUUCCUACAUUAUUAGAUUUAAUAACAAACAAGAGAAGUAUUAUUUUUGAUUAAUCUGUUCGUGAGUUGGCUGGUAUUGUUCUUGAGAUUUGUCUUCCAGAUGGUUUGUUUCUAUAUGGUUCCUUUUUCAGGGUAACUUAUUUUUAUGUUUUGCUUCCAUAAUUUGGGAUUGUUAGGGUAUGCUUAUUGAUAUGAUGAAGACCUCGAUAAUCUGACGCUUCUCUGACAAUUCUUUCGGUAUUAUUUCUUUACUAAUCAUGGAGGUUAAUAAUAUGGAGAUUAAUAAUGUGUUGCAGUGUUCAACUACUUGUGUUUAUCCCUUCCAUGUUCGAUGGUUUUGCUUAUUGAAAGACUGGAUCUAAACAUUAAGAAUGCUUUACAAUUAUGAGUCUAAUUUCUUCUCUAUUAUUACUUUUUGGCUAUGGUUUCAACUUUCAACACAAGACACACAUUGAUUUAACCUGCAUUUCUGCAGCUGUCUAUCGAAUUAAUACAGUCAAUUCAUAGCUUUGAGCCAUUGCUACCACCUCGAGUUUGUUUUGCUGAUCUUUAUGUUUUCAUAUUAUUGAGUUUUAUAUGUUUGAAUUUUUGAUUAUAUGUUUGUUUGUAGUUUUUUAUCUCUAUGCCAUUGCUACAGGUGUGUAUUUUUAUGGAUUUGUAAUUUCUUCUUCAGUGUUGUAUGGAAGGUAAUCGUUAGAAUUUAGAGUCCUUUUGAUUGAAUGCAUGAAAAUAGAUAAAUUUUACAAGAAAAAUAUGUUUAUGUUAAAAAAAUAUUAACAAAAAAUAAUUAUUAGUUGUGACAAAGUUUCAAAACUCAAAUUAUAUAAAAUCUAUAGGAUAACUGUGGUUAGGGUGGCUUGAUAUCUGUUAAUUUUAAUUGAUUCAUGUGGUGUAUGUUGUAAUUUUGGAUUCUAUACAAUAUUAUAUAUUUUAUUUAUUCAUUAUAAUGUUUGAUCUUAAUGUUUCAUUUCAAGCUCUUGGUGGCACGUGGAAGCUAUGGUGGAGAUAAUCCAGGAUUAGUUGUUCUUUUUGUUCAAUAAGAUCUUUUUGUUCAAUAUCUCUUUUUGUUCAAUGUCUCUGUUCAGAUUAUGGAUUACGUGUUUUCAAUCUUUCUAUUAUUAUUCCUUUUAGUGGUUUCUUCUUGGAUGUGGCAAGUGUAGAGCGUUUUAAUUGUUAACCUGUUGAUCUGCAGUGUAGUGUAACAUCCUUCAUAAUGGUCAGCAGCCACUGCCUCAAAUUCUUUUCAUUUCAUUAUUUCUUUGUCGAUUUUAAUUAUUUAGUUAUGUCAAUUUGUGAUUUCUUCUUUGGUGUUAUAGUGGAGUUAAUCUAUGUGACCACACUGUGGCACUUCGAAACUAUGGCGAAGAUGGACAUCCCUUCUAAUAUGAUUAUCUCUAUUUGGAUUAUAGAUUUGUGUUUCUUCAUUUUCCUUUUCUAUUUUUAGUGUUUAGUUUUAUCCAUAUUUCAUUAUUUCUUUGUCGAUUUUAAUUAUCUAGUCAUGUCAAUUGUGAUUUCUACUUUGGUGUUAUAGGGGAGGUAAUCUAUGUGACCACACUGGCACUUCGAAACUAUGGCGAAGAUGGACUUCCCUAUAUGAUUAUCUCUAUUUGGAUUACAGAUUUGUGUUUCUUCAUUUUCCUUUUCUAUUUUGAGUGUUUUGUUUUAUCAAUUCAUUUCUUUUAUUGCGUUACAGGGUUACUAUGAAUAUUGUUGGGGUCUGGUAGCCGUGUAGAAGAUUAUAAUAAUCUUGAUUUUUGGCCUUGGGAACAAAAUCAUUUUUUUCUAUGCUUCUGUUCUAGAUUGGUUGUCCUUAUGUUUGAUGUUAAGAUUUGAUUUAUUCACUGUGAACUGGAAUGUGGGUGUCUUUGUAUUUUCAAGGGAAUUCAUACUUGUCAGCCGAAGAAUUAAGGACAACAAGUCUGGGCUCUUUGUUUGGAAGAAUUUGCUACUCCUAAACUUUUUUAAUGAAUUUUUUUAUAAUGUUGAUCUACACCGAAUCACUUUCCUCCUAAUUAGAUAUCCUCUUCCUUACAGUGGUACAGAGAACCAGCCUUUGGAGUAUAAAUUGAUGAAAUUUUUGAUAUAUUGAGCACUUCUAUCUGCAAUCAAAUAAUUGAAGUUGACAUUUUCAAGGGAUUUUAUCUGAAAAUGUCAAAGUAAUUAUGUCAUUCAUAGCGCUGAGCCAUCGCCAUCGUCUGAAGUUUGAUUUGCUGAUCUCUAUGCAUCAUGAGUCCUUUUCGUUUAUUUUUCUUUGUUAUGGACUUGUGAUUUCUUCUUCAGUGAUAUAGGGAUGGUAAUCUAUGAACACUUGGUUUGACAUGGAAGCUACGGUGGAGAUAAUCCAGGGCUAGUUAUUGUGUUUGUUCAAUAGGAUUAUCUCUAUUCGGAUUAUGUUUUCUGUGUUUUCAAUUUCUAUUUUUAGUGUCUAUUUUUAUCGAUUAAUUCCUUUUAGAUAUUUCUUCUUUGAUGUUACAGGGUUAUAAAUGUCGGUGGCUGCUGUAGCGAAAGACUAUGGUCCCCAACUUCUAUCUCUGUUUUGGAUUGGUCUUCCCUAUGCUAGGUUUAAGAUUUGAUUUGUUGACAGUGGGAUUUUAGGACGAUAUGGUUGGGUUCUUUGUUCAUGCUUCUUGGUUUAGAUGAAUUUACUAGUCCAGGUUGUCUGUUGUUUAUAUAUUUAACAUGCAAUCAACAUAAUGGAAAUUGGAAUUUUGAAGGGAUUCUAUCAGAAUAAUAGCAUUAAGAGCUUUAGGGUUAUUUAACUUUGAUGAGUAUGCUUGUCUUUCUUUUUGUUUUUGAAUGUCUGCACAUAUGAAUAUUAAAAAUUGCAUUUGUUAUUCUGCAGUGAAAUGUUUGAAAAUAGUUGAGCAACCUGAAAAAUCUAGCUCCUUGCAUAAUUAUGGUGACAUUUUCCUAAAGUCAGAAUUCUUGGUUGCUUCUUCUCCAUGCUUAUUUUUCCUACCUGUGAUUUUAAGUAUUUGAUUUUUGUGAAUUAUUGAAUAUGAUGGGUUUGGUAUCAUUUGUUUGUUUGAUGUUGUCAUCAUGCUUCUUCGUGUAAACAAUUGGGGAUUGUUUCAGGAUUAGAAAUAUACAAGUGCACAACACAGUUCUGCUUGGUGGAUUUUGUCUUCAUUCUGGAUUGCUUUUGCCUACAAAAUUUGCUCCUCAAGGUGGAAGAACUGAAUGAGUAGUUUUAUUCAUGUUCCUAUAUGUUUCUUUAUGAAGUUCUGAGAUGUAUAUGUAGUUUUAUUAGAUAUUGAAGUUUCUUCCUAGAUUAUGAUGUACGUUCAGCAUUUGGAGGAUUCAACUUGGUGAGAGUUGCUAUGAUCAUAAUAAUUUUUAUGUAUCAUGCUUCUUAUGCCUUUGUUAAUCAAGGGAGUCUCUUGGGUCUUGUGAUUUCAAUGGAGCUGCUAUGAUCACCACCACUGAGCCUAGUGAGUGACAUCUAUAAGGCUCUUCUUAGUUAUAUGUUCGUUAAUUCCCGAGUAAUUGCUCUUGAAUGUGCACCAAAUUGGAUCUGAUAUGCAUUAGAAAUUUUUGAUUUUAAUUAAGACAUUAAUGCCAUAGUUAAUACCAAUUGGAAAUUCUAUUUCACCUCUUAUGACUUUUCCACCUUCAAACACAUUAUUAACUGACAUGAACAUCUUUUUCAAAUUCCUCCAACAAGUUAAUGUUAACAAGACGAAUUUUAUCAUUUUCCAUGGUGAUCGGAGAUGAGUGCCUUAACUCUUUAGAAUGAUUGUCUGCUUUGAUUGGUUUCGAUUUCAGAGUUUCUUCUUAUUUUUUAUGACUGAUACUUAUUCUUACUAUUCUUGAGAAACACUCCUUGGUUCAUCUAAAAAACUGAUACUUAUUCUUACUAUUCUUUUAAAUCAAUUCUUUGAUUGAUAUUCUUCGUUUAAUCACAGAGAGAUAAAUGUGUUGAAGUGUUGCAGCAAGCUGGAGUUUUGAUGUGUUUUCUGAAAGGCUAAAACUACUUGUGUUCUAGGGUAGAGUGUUUAAGAUGUGUUUUGGAUGAAUGUAAUUUAUUCUGCAUUACCUUUUUUUUUCUGUCUAUGGUUUUAUCACUGGACAUACACAAUACACAUUGAAUUGGUAGCAUGUUUCUCUGCAGAGUAGUGUAUCAUAAUAGAAAUAUCGUUCUUCAUAGUGUUCAGCCACCACCUCGAGUUUGAUUUGUUGAUCUCUAUUGCUAGUUAUAUGAAGUCUCAUUUCAAUAUUUCUUUGCAAUUCUAAAUAUCUAGUCAUCUCAUUUUGUGAUUUGUACUUCAUUAUAGGGUUAUCUCAAUUUGUCAUGUAGUAGGGUUAUAGCAUGCAUUUUUGUCAGUUCUCGACCAAUAUUUGAUUUUCUAUUCAAUUUGAAGAAAGCCAACAAUGCAUGCAUUACCAUGAGCAAACUGCUGUAUUUAUGACUACAUUUUGCCUUUAAAUGGUUUGUGCAAUAUUUAUUGUCACUUAGUCAUUUUUCAGCUUUGGUGUCUUUAAGUGACAGAGUGAAGAAGACUUGUUCAUGGCUUCCUUGAUCUGCAACAUGGAUGUUGAUUGUGGAAAGCUUCUGGUCUGCAAACCAGACUUAGAUUGUGUGAAGACUCUGCAGUAUGAUACAGAGUUGAAUUGUAAUGCUGGAAACUCUGGCCAUAUUCAUCCAAUUUACAUUAAAUACUUGAACAAGUGAUGUUUCAACAACAUACUUCAUGGGAAACUCACCAUUCCUAUUUCUGGAUGAAUUUAUAUAUAUGUUGCCUCUGUUGGGAAUAUACCAGGUGAUAGCUGUCAAAGCACGGGUUUUGUAUGCUUCAUUAGUUUAUCUAUAAGAUUUUAGAAUGUUUUGACACUUUGACUACUAGUUUAAGUUUUGUUGUUGGUGUAAACUAUUUUAUACUUUUAUAUUAAUAAUUAGUUAUUGUUGCUAUAUUUGUUAAGAAUAUCUUCCUAGUGUAUUGCAAAUAAAUAGUUAUGUUUAUGACAUAUUUUAUGGGUUUUAUCUU